rnacentral:rRNA from 1 species
UGUGUAGGCGGUUCUUUAAGUUUGGUGUGAAAUCUCCCGGCUCAACCGGGAGGGUGCGCCGAAUACUGAGGGACUCGAGUGCGGGAGAGGAAAGUGGAAUUCCUGGUGUAGCGGUGAAAUGCGUAGAUAUCAGGAGGAACACCGGUGGUGUAGACGGCUUUCUGGACCGUAACUGACGCUGAGACACGAAAGCGUGGGUAGCAAACAGGAUUAGAUACCCUGGUAGUCCACGCCCUAAACGAUGCAUAUUUGGUGUGGGUCAUUCAGUUGAUCCGUGCCGGAGCUAACGCGUUAAAUAUGCCGCCUGGGGAUACAGUCGCAAGGCUGAA